AUCCAGCUUUAAUUGACAGUUUAUUGGAUUUGUCGGUCAAUUUGGUUUUAUCUGAUUAACCUCCAAAUUCUUAACUGCUCUGUGAAGCAUGUCCAUUUCUAACCCUUUUGCCAUAGACAAAGCAUCCAAGCGCCUCCAUUCAUCGUCACACAAACUCCUAAACACCCAGAGCAGUCAAUAUCAUCUCUUUCUAUAUGUCCUUUUCCUUUCUUUUCUCCAUUGUUUCUCUCUGCAUUUGCUUUUUUUCUCAUUAUGGGUUUCUUCUCACUUCUCUACGACGAGGAUUUUUGGGUGUCUUUUCAAGGUAACACAUCUGUUUUUAUUUGCUUGUGUGGAUUUUUGUGGG
rnacentral:misc_RNA from 1 species